GGAAGUAUAUGGAUAUCGAACUAGAAGAUGAUGAGAGGAACAAGUUAUCUGCUACAUUCUGGGGCGAAUUUGUUGAUCAAGUUAUACCUCACCUUUUAAGUUCUAACAACCAGCCUAUUAUUGUUGUUAUGCAGCUCAUAAAAGCCCAUAAAUUUCAAGAUUCAUAUUCUGUGCGCAACACUUGGAAUACAUC